UCUGUCAGUAUACAGUGGGGCAAAAAAGUAUUUAGUCAGCCACCAAUUGUGCAAGUUCUCCUACUUAAAGAUGAGGCCUGUAAUUUUCAUCGUAGGUACACUUCAACUAUGACAGACAAAAUGAGAAAAAAAAAUCCAGAAAAUCACAUUGUAGGAUUUUUAAUAUUUAUUUGCAAAUUAUGGUGGAAAAUAAGUAUUUGGACAAUAACAAAAGUUUAUUUCAAUACUUUGUUAUAUACCCUUUGUUGGCAAUGACAGAGGUCAAAUGUUUUCUGUAAGUCUUCACUAGGUUUUCACACACUGUUGCUGGUAUUUUGGCCCAUUCCUCCAUGCAGAUUUCCUCUAGAGCAGUGAUGUUUUGGGGCUGUUGCUGGGCAACACAGACUUUCAACUCCCUCCAAAGAUUUUCUAUGGGGUUGAGAUCUGGAGACUGGCAAGGCCACUCCAGGACCUUGAAAUGCUUCUUACGAAGCAACUCCUUCGUUGCCCGGGCGGUGUGUUUGAGAUCAUUGUCAUGCUGAAAGACCCAGCCACGUUUCAUCUUCAAUGCCCUGGCUGAUGGAAUGAGGUUUUCACUCAAUCUCACGAUACAUGGCCCCAUUCUUUCCUUUACACGGAUCAGUUGUCCUGGUCCCUUUGCAGAAAAACAGCCCCAAAGCAUGUUUCCACCCCCAUGCUUCACAGUAGGUAUGCAUUCUUUGUCCUCCAAACAUGACGAGUUGAGUUUUUACCAAAAAGUUAUAUUUUGGUUUCAUCUGACCAUAUGACAUUCUCCCAAUCUUCUUCUGGAUCAUCCAAAUGCUCUCUAUCAAAUUUAAGACGGGCCUGGACAUGUACUGGCUUAAGCAGGGGGACACGUCUGGCACUGCAGGAUUUGAGUCCCUGGCGGCGUAGUGUGUUACUGACGGUAGGCUUUGUUACCUUUUGCAGGUCAUUCACUAGGUCCCCCCGUGUGGUUCUGGGGUGAGAUCUUGCGUGGAGCCCCAGAUCGAGGGAGAUUAUCAGUGGUCUUGUAUGUCUUCCAUUUCCUAAUGUUUGCUCCCACAGUUGAUUUCUUCAAACCAAGCUGCUUACCUAUUGCAGAUUCAGUCUACAAUUUUUGACAGCUCUUUGGUCUUGGCCAUAGUGGAGUUUGGAGUGUGACUGUUUGAGGUUGUGGACAGUUGUCUUUUAUACUGAUAACAAGUUCAAACAGGUGCCAUUAAUACAGGUAACGAGUGGAGGACAGAGGAGCCUCUUAAAGAAGAAGUUACAGGUCUGUGAGAGCCAGAAAUCUUGUUUGUAGGUGACCAAAUACUUAUUUUCCACCAUAAUUUGCAAAUAAAUUAAUAAAAAAUCCUACAAUGUGAUUUUCUGGAUAUUUUUUAGUAGAAGUGUACCUAUGAUGAAAAUUACAGGCCUCAUAUUUUUAAGUGGGAGAACUUGCACAAUUGGUGGCUGACUAAAUACUUUUUUACCCCACUGUAUAUUGAGUUGUAUUCAUUUUUAGGAUACAGUAGUAUAAAAGGGUUGUAUGUUAGUCCCAUCACUCCACAAUACACAACACAAUAAUUCAAUAAUGAUAAUUCAACACAAUCUUUUUUUUUAAUGUAGGGAGAUGAGCAAGGCACUCAACCCCAAAUUUACCCCUCCCUCCAGGAGUUACCGCAGUGACACAUUCAUUCUAUCUGGUGUAGAAAAGGCCAAUGUGAUGACUGAGCUGAAGGACGUGCCAAAGCUGGCCAUCACAUCAGACAGGUGGACCAGCCUCUGUCAGGACCACUGUCUCACUGUUCCAGUGCACUACACAAGACAGGGCAGUGUAAAACAGAAGGUCCUCCGCACCAGGGCAGUGUAAAACAGAAGGUCCUCCGCACCAGGGCAGUGUAAAACAGAAGGUCCUCCGCACCAGGGCAGUGUAAAACAGAAGGUCCUCCGCACCAGGGCAGUGUAAAACAGAAGGUCCUCCGCACCAGGGCAGUGUAAAACAGAAGGUCCUCCGCACCAGGGCAGUGUAAAACAGAAGGUCCUCCGCACCAGGGCAGUGUAAAACAGAAGGUCCUCCGCACCAGGGCAGUGUAAAACAGAAGGUCCUCCGCACCAGGGCAGUGUAAAACAGAAGGUCCUCCGCACCAGGGCAGUGUAAAACAGAAGGUCCUCCGCACCAGGGCAGUGUAAAACAGAAGGUCCUCCGCACCAGGGCAGUGUAAAACAGAAGGUCCUCCGCACCAGGGCAGUGUAAAACAGAAGGUCCUCCGCACCAGGGCAGUGUAAAACAGAAGGUCCUCCGCACCAGGGCAGUGUAAAACAGAAGGUUGUUGUUCUGGGAUUUGAUUUGCACUUUUCGCGCUGAAGUACAUUCAUCUCUAGGAGACAGAACAUGUCUCCUUCCUGAGCGGAAUGACGGCUGCGUCGUCCCAUGGUGUUUAUACUUGCAUACUAUUGUUUGUACAGAUGAACGUGGUACCUUCAGGUGUUUGGAAAUUGCUCCCAAGGACGAACCAGACUUGUGGAAGUCUACAAUUUUUUUUUUUUCUGAGGUCUUGGCUGAUUUCUUUUGAUUUUCCUAUGAUGUCAAGCAAAGAGGCACUGAGUUUGAAGGGAGGCCUUGAAAUACAUCCACAGGUACACCUCCAAUUGACUAAAAUAAUGUCAAUUAGCCUAGCAGAAGCUUAUAAAGCCAUGACAUCAUUUUCUGGAAUUUUCCAAGCUGUUUAAAGGCACAGUCAACUUAGUGUAUGUAAACUUCUGACCCACUGGAAUUGUGAUACAGUGAAAUAAUAUGUCUGUAAACAAUUGUUGGAAAAAUGACUUGUCGUGCACAAAGUAGAUGUCCUAACCGACUUGCCAAAACUAUAGUUUGUUAACAAGACAUUUGUGCAGUGGUUGAAAAACGAGUUUUAAUGAUUCCAACCUAAGUGUAUGUAAACUUCCGACUUCAACUGUAUAUAUUAUAAUUCUUUGCCUUAAUUACUCUAAAAUAUAGACUCUUACCUUUCAUUUGA